UACUAUACCAUUUCUUGGAGCAGUAAAAAUGAUUUAAGAGCAUAGAGAAUUCCACAAGUUGAGGCCAAGAAUGAUUUGAAUUUGAAAAUUAAAGUUGAUUGUUGACUCUUUCAUCUCUAAUAGUCUCCAUAUGAUGGGUGUCCAUUAUUAUUAAAAUGCGAAAAGUCUACUUUCCAAGAGAAUCAAACUGGGGCUGUCGGCAGGCAUCUUAAAGCCCAAUUCGAUGCUAGCUUACCCCAAGUGAAAUAGAGCAAUUAAUAAUUAGCUUAAUGAGAAAAAAAUAUUGAAAUCGAAUUUUCUAGUCUAGCUUGGUAUGUUCUGUAAAAUGCAACUACGCUACAAAAAUUGCAACAUGUGAACGUAGAUUGUGAGCCU